GUCAGUAUUAUGGUUGGUAAUAAGAUUACAAGGUUAUAAAGGUUUCUUUUCAUUAUUGAAAAAAGUACAAUUAAAAUAAAUAAUGAUAUUCAUCCCCUAGUUGGUUUUUGUUACAUAUGUCACAAAUUCUGUCGUCACGUUCUAUACCCCAAAAGCGACCCCUUUCAAUAGGGAGUCGAUGAUUUAGACAUCUAAAAUGCAUAAGGCUUUUUUCAAAUCAUCUGGUAAAUUAAGUAAAUAAUAUUCUAAACCAUGAUUAUAUUUAAAAAUUCUGUAGUUAAGACAUUUUGGUGAGUUAAAAAUAGUUCAAG
rnacentral:lncRNA from 1 species